GACGAACGCUGGCGGCGUGCUUAACACAUGCAAGUCGAACGGUGAAGCGAGUGCUUGCACUCGUGGAUCAGUGGCGAACGGGUGAGUAACACGUGAGUAACCUGCCCAUCACUCUGGGAUAAGCACUGGAAACGGUGUCUAAUACUGGAUACGACCAACCCUUGCAUGGGGUGUUGGUGGAAAGAUUUAUCGGUGAUGGAUGGACUCGCGGCCUAUCAGCUUGUUGGCGGGGUAAUGGCCCACCAAGGCGACGACGGGUAGCCGGCCUGAGAGGGUGACCGGCCACACUGGGACUGAGACACGGCCCAGACUCCUACGGGAAGCAGCAGUGGGGAAUAUUGCACAAUGGGCGAAAGCCUGAUGCAGCGACGCCGCGUGAGGGAUGACGGCCUUCGGGUUGUAAACCUCUUUCAGCAGGGAAGAAGCGAAAGUGACGGUACCUGCAGAAGAAGCACCGGCUAACUACGUG
rnacentral:rRNA from 1 species